rnacentral:siRNA from 1 species
CACGCGCGCUACACUGAUGUA